rnacentral:rRNA from 1 species
UACAGAGGGUGCAAGCGUUAAUCGGAAUUACUGGGCGUAAAGCGCACGUAGGCGGCGAUUUAAGUCAGAGGUGAAAGCCCGGGGCUCAACCCCGGAACUGCCUUUGAGACUGGAUUGCUAGAAUCUUGGAGAGGCGAGUGGAAUUCCGAGUGUAGAGGUGAAAUUCGUAGAUAUUGGGAAGAACACCGGUGGCGAAGGCGGCUCACUGGCUCGUUUCUGACGCUCAGGCGCGACAGCGUGGGGAUCAAACAGG